AAUUUGAAAAAUUUCAGAAAAUGAUUUCACAAAAAAGAGUGUUCAUGUAGUUGCAUUACAUUUAGGAUCGAGUCUAGAGUGUUUCAUUUAGGAUUAUUGCAUAUGCAUAGGGGAUGAUGAUGAGAUAGCCUUGUAAGCAUUUUGAUUCACCGGAUAAACUCAGUGCCCUCGUUGCUAGUUGUCUAUUGCGUAGUCAAUGAAUUUGAAAUGAAACUGAACCAUGCCUAGAUUGCUCUACUCGACCAAACUGUCAUGAUCUGAUACCAUUCCCUAUCAAUUUGAACCUGAAUCUGAUCUUUAAUUAUCAUGUCUGCAUCAAAUUUGAACUCAUGGAUACCCUAAAAUACUUGGAUUUUCUUAUUCACUUUGAUCACUCUUGUUAAUCCAAGUAGUUGACUCUCCUUAUUAGAGCAGUUAACCCAAACCUAGACUUUCUUUCAAGCCCUAUAUCACUUGUGAGUGUUUGUGAGGUCUUAUUUCGAUUAAGCUUGGUAGAAAGUGUUAGGUUCGUAACGAUAGAGAUAGUGUCUCAUGUAGUUCUAGUUCGCAUG
rnacentral:sRNA from 1 species